CGGACUGUAGCGCAGCCUGGUAGCGCACUUGCAUGGGGUGCAAGGGGUCGGAGGUUCAAAUCCUCUCAGUCCGACCA
rnacentral:tRNA from 1 species